rnacentral:rRNA from 1 species
ACGUAUGGAGCAAGCGUUAUCCGGAUUUACUGGGUGUAAAGGGAGUGUAGGUGGCAUCACAAGUCAGAAGUGAAAGCCCGGGGCUCAACCCCGGGAUUGCUUUUGAAACUGUGGAGCUGGAGUGCAGGAGAGGCAAGUGGAAUUCCUAGUGUAGCGGUGAAAUGCGUAGAUAUUAGGAGGAACACCAGUGGCGAAGGCGGCUUGCUGGACUGUAACUGACACUGAGGCUCGAAAGCGUGGGGAGCAAACAG